rnacentral:rRNA from 1 species
AUUGAACGCUGGCGGCCGGCCUAACACAUGCAAGUCGAGCGAGCGGCGGACGGGUGAGUAAUGUCUGGGAAACUGCCUGAUGGAGUGGGAUCACUACUGGAAACGGUAGCUAAUACCGCAUACCAUCCUCUGUGCCCAGAUGGGAUUAGCUAGUAGGUGGGGUAACGGCUCACCUAGGCGACGAUCCCUAGCUGGUCUUAGAGGAUGACCAGCCACACUGGAACUGAGACACGGGCCAGACUGCUACGGGAGGCAGCAGUGGGGAAUAUUGCACAAUGUGCGCAAGCCUGAUGCAGCCAUGCCGCGUGUAUGAAGAAGGCCUUCGGGUUGUAAAGUACUUUCAGCGGGGAGGCGUUACCCGCAGAAGAAGCACCGGCUAACUGCGUGCCAGCAGCCGCGGUAAUAC